rnacentral:piRNA from 1 species
UGACACCACGUGUAUGCUAGGAAUG